rnacentral:lncRNA from 1 species
CUGCGGUAAAAUUAAUCAUUUCGAGCAAAAAGCGAUUUUGCUAUAAAAUACACUCAUGGUGAGCUUCUGAUUUUUUCUCCCACUAGAGAAAGCCCCCCAAAUCCAUGCUCCGAAUUGCCAGCUGCCACUCGCAACAGCGCAAUGGGGCCGCUCGGCGCAAGGAUGCAACGGCAGCGCCCGUGCCUCAGUUUCCCCAGCGGUGCCAAGCGAUCCGGUUUCGGCCCCGAUCGUUUCCGUGGCACGGUGAACUGAGCGCAAGCACCGUGCGCAAGCGCUCCGAGGAGGGAGCAGCGCGUGGGGCUCCGCUCGGCGCCACAACCCCUCCGAGGACGUGGGGGACAAGCACCCCGGCCAGCCCCCGUCCGCCUGCAGAGCCGCGCCGACCCGGCGCUCUGGCAGGGCUCGACGUGCGCUGAGCUUCAGUCCUUUGCAGGGAGUCAUCGGGGGGAGGCAGGUGCUUUUUUCCCUCCUGUCUUUACUUUUUUAGCGUGCUCAAGCGCCGGUGACCGGGGGCCUGAGGAGCUCUGUCCUGCUCUGCAGCUAAAUCCGGGGGCUCCGGCACUUCUGCCUCACAGCUUGCAAACGGGUUCCCGCAGCAAGGGGGGAGCGCGGCCGAGGAAGCCCAGACAAGGGCUGAGCAGAGCCUGGGAAGGGCAGGAUUUGGCACAGGGGAGCCUGUUCCCUCCCAUGGGCUGCAAUGCCCAGGGCUUAUGCAUCCAACAAACCCAAGGAGAGACGUUCAGGGUUUGCAAACCACCGCUUGCUGCGGGCGUGUGCCCCAGCAAGCAAGGGGAAAAGCCAUUGCAAAGGCGCAGGGAGGCGAGCGAGCACGUUGCCCCAGCGGGGUUCCCUGAAGGGUGCACCCACCUUUGCCCAGGCGUACCGACUUGCUGGACCCAUGUCGCCUGCAGCCCUUCCCGAAGGUGGGGCUGUGAGAAAGUCCUGCCCUGCCUGCGCUGCCCCGAAGCCCUCGCCAGGCCAGCACUGCUCCCCCGCAGCGGGCACCGGCCCCCAGCCCCGGCCCCGGGCAGUAGGAUCCCCGUGUGCCGAACGAGGACAAUAGACCCUCGUGUCCUGACAGGGACAGGGCAGGGGCUGUGUGGUGGCAGGACCCGUCUGACAGCGCUUGGUCAGCCAUCGCACGUGCCCCACAGCCAGGGCCCGAGCAAUCCUGCCCUGCGCGUUCCUCCCCUCCCCUCUCUUCCUCUGCAGAUAUUUGCAGCAGGAACACGAAGACGGGCCUGCAUGUGGCAGCAUGACCAGAAACAGGCGCCUGAAAAAGCAGCCGGAGGAAGUUUAUGGCUGCUGAAGAAGACAAGAGGUGACAAAGGAUCCCCCAGAGAAGCUGCUGGCUCCUGA